CCUUUUAAGGGAGACCCAGGAAGGAGUCAGGGAGAAACCCAAAACUAAAAACUCCCUUCAAUUGGACUCUGACCCAUCCCAGGUCGGACGAAGUAAUCACAGUUGGCUUUCAAACUAUUUUAGGUUCAUUCAAGGGCUAUUAGCUCAGUUGGUUAGAGCGCACCCCUGAUAAGGGUGAGGUCUCUGGUUCAAGUCCAGAAUAGCCCACCUUAAAAAAUUCAGGAUUUAUCCUGGGGGUAUAGCUCAGUUGGUAGAGCGCUGCCUUUGCACGGCAGAAGUCAGCGGUUCGAGUCCGCUUACCUCCACUCUUUAAAGAGUUGGGUAAAAACUGAAGUAAUAAAGACAACUCAGCAAGAGACGAAAGUCAAGAUGCUGGGUGAAAGUCCAGCCAGAACCUUGAAAACUGCAUAGAGAAAAGUCAGGAAAGUCUAGUAUCAAACAAAGACUCAGGUCAAGCUACAAAGGGCUAAUGGUGGAUACCUAGGCACACAGAG
rnacentral:tRNA from 1 species